rnacentral:rRNA from 1 species
GAAAGGUGGUGCAUGGUUGUCGUCAGCUCGUGUCGUGAGAUGUUGGGUUAAGUCCCGCAACGAGCGCAACCCUCGUUCUAUGUUGCCAGCACGUAAUGGUGGGAACUCAUGGGAUACUGCCGGGGUCAACUCGGAGGAAGGUGGGGAUGACGUCAAAUCAUCAUGCCCCUUAUGUCUUGGGCUUCACGCAUGCUACAAUGGCCGGUACAAAGGGCUGCAAUACCGUGAGGUGGAGCGAAUCCCAAAAAGCCGGUCCCAGUUCGGAUUGAGGUCUGCAACUCGACCUCAUGAAGUCGGAGUCGCUAGUAAUCGCAGAUC